rnacentral:rRNA from 1 species
AUUGAACGCUGGCGGCAUGCUUUACACAUGCAAGUCGAACGGUAACAGGCCGCAAGGCGCUGACGAGUGGCGAACGGGUGAGUAAUGCAUCGGAACGUGCCCAGUCGUGGGGGAUAACGCAGCGAAAGCUGUGCUAAUACCGCAUACGAUCUAUGGAUGAAAGCGGGGGACCGUAAGGCCUCGCGCGAUUGGAGCGGCCGAUGUCAGAUUAGGUAGUUGGUGGGGUAAAGGCUCACCAAGUCAACGAUCUGUAGCUGGUCUGAGAGGACGACCAGCCACACUGGGACUGAGACACGGCCCAGACUCCUACGGGCGGCAGCAGUGGGGAAUUUUGGACAAUGGGCGCGAGCCUGAUCCAGCAAUGCCGCGUGCAGGAAGAAGGCCUUCGGGUUGUAAACUGCUUUUGUACGGAACGAAAAGGUUUGGGUUAAUACCCUGGGCCGAUGACGGUACCGUAAGAGUAAGCACCGGCUAACUACGUGCCAGCCGCCGCAGUAA